rnacentral:lncRNA from 1 species
UGUCAUUUGCAUAAUUUGUUGUAAGCUCUAGUUUGUACAAAAAAUAAAACUUUUUGUACUCCAAUACAAGAUAGGGGAAUGAUAAGUUACCGUGGAAGGUGUCAUAACCCCAUUUUCCCUCCGUAGGAACAUUUUCCCUCCGUAGGAUGUCGUGAUGGAACAUAGUCACCUAAGACUAGGUAAGCUUAACACUUUGCGGAAUAAAUGAAUAAUAAACCGAACUCCAAUCUCAACACAUGAUAUAUAAAUAUAAGACUACAAAUCAAUAAUUAUAACUCCUAAAACUCGGUAGAAAUAAGUCACAAGCUUCUAAGAGAAAAUACUAAGUGUCUCUAUACAUCAAGUCUAAAGAGAAUAAGGGAAAUAACAUAAUAAGGAUAGAGGGGGACUCCGAGAUCUGCGGACGCUGGCAGAUAUACCUUGAAGUCUCCACGUACAGUCCAGCUCACUAGUAUUUGGCUUGGUAGGAAGAACCUCGAUCUGCACAAAAAGAUGUGCAGAGUGUAGUAUGAGUACGCCACAACGAUACCCAGUAAGUGCCAAGCCUAACCUCGGUAGAGUAGUGACGAGGUCAGGUCAAGGCCCUACUGGUUUUAAAAGAAAAAUAAGGCAAAAGAUAUAAUAAUAUUUGAAAUGACUGAAAAUUUAAACGACGAGAGACUUUAGAAAAUAACAACUUAGCAAUUAAAGGUAAACAACUGGGGCGCUCCCGAGGUACCGCCUAGUAGUCCCAAAUGUAAAUAUGCAAGACAGGGGAAUCUCCCGAGGUACCGCCUCGUAGUCCCAAAAUAAAUAUGCAAGACAGGGGGGAUCUCCCAAGGUACCGCCUCGUAGUCCCAAAGUAAAUAUGCAAGACAGGGAGAUCUCCCGAGUAAACGCCUCGUAGUCGCAAAAUAAAUAUGCAGUAGAGGGGAAUAUCCCGAGGAACCGCCUCGUAGUACCAAAGUAAAUAUGCAGUACAGGAGGAUCUCCUGAGGAACCGCCUCGUAGUCCCAAAGUAAAUAUGCAACAGAUAAUCGAAGGAAUAACGAAUUUUUCAAGAAAUCUUACAGUUAAAGAUUUAAUUCAAAUCAAUGGAAGCAGGUAAUUCAACUAAGCAUAUUGUAUAAGUUGUAAGUAAGAGUUAAGGCACGUAGACAUGCGAUACUAGGCUAAACAUGAUCACUACAUAUGCUAAGGCAACUUUAGUUAAGGAAUUUAAAAGAAGACAACUCGGCAUGUAUCGAAAUUUUCACAAUUAGCCCGUGUACGCACUAGUCAUCUCGCGUACACGGCGCUCACACAUCACAAAUUGUUACAACAGCACCAAAUCGUAAAGGGAUUUUCCCCACACAAAGUUAGACAAGUCACUUACCUCAAUUCUCGCCCAAUCAAUCGAUAAGGAUGUCUUUCCCUCGAUUUUCCGACUCAGAAUGGCCCAAAUCUAGCCAAAAGCAAUUACAUAACAUGAAUACAACUACAAGAAAUUACUUUAAAUCAUAAGUCUACGACUUUAGCAAAGAAUCGAAAAACCGCCCCAAAAGGUCGACCCGAGCCCAUGUCUCAGAAUCGGGUAAAAGUCACAAAAUACGAAUACCCAUUCGAUAUCGAGUUCACCCAUACCAAAGUUACCAAAAUCCGACACCAAGUCGCUAUUCAAAACCCCAAAUGUAACUCUCCAAAUCCCUAGCCUCCAACUCCCAAAUUCUACCUUAAACACACACAAUCUAGGUGGGAAAAUCAAUGGGAAAACAAGGUUAUUGAUCAAAAAUAAGUACAAGAGACUUACCUCAAGAAAUCCCUCGACAAUGCUCUCAAAGAUCGCCAAAACCCGAGCUCAAAAUGUCCAAAAUGAUAAAAAUCACGAAACCCUUUGGUUUUAAACACUGCCCAGGGGUUCCACUUCUGCGGUCCACUAAGUCACACCUGUGGCACCGCUUGUGCGGAAAACACAAAUGCUUAUGCGGUUUGCUUCGCUUCUGCGACGAGAGGUCCGCUUCUGCGGACACGCUUUUGCAGUCACUUAUUCGCUUCUGCGACACUGGCUGCCCUUCCUUCACUCCAUAUCUGCGGAGCCUUGCUCGCACCUGCGGGCUCGCAGAUGCGGAAGCCUUCACGCACCUGCGACACAGCCCCAGGCCAAGCCCCAAAUCCGCUUCUGUGCCUUGCCAACCGCACCUGCGGUUGCGCACCUACGAGAAUAGUUCCGCAGGUGCGAUUGCACCAGAAGGCAGAAUAUCCCAGCUUUUUCCUUAAAUUCAAAUUUGAUCCGUUAACCAUACGGAAUCCACCCGAGGACCCCGGGACCUUAAUCAAACGUACUAACAAGUCCUAAAAUAUCAUACGGACUAAGACGAGCCUUGAGAUCACAUCAAACAACGCUAAAACUACGAAUUGCACAUCGAUUCAAGCCUAAUGAACUUUAAAACUUCAAACUUCUACAUCCGACGCUGAAACCUAUCAAAUCAAGUCCGAUUGACCUCAAAUUUUGCACACAAGCGAUAAUUGAUAUUAUGUACCUACUCUAACUUCUGGAAUCGGAAUCCAACCCCGAUAUCAAAAAGUCCACUCCCGAUCAAAUUUUCCAACUUUCGCCAAUUGACGCAAAUAUUACCUACGGACCUCCAAUUCAAAAUCUGAACACACUCCUAAGACCAAAAUCACCCUACAGAGCUAUUGGAAUAGUCGAAACUCCAUUUCAGAGUCGUCUUCAUACAAAUCCAACUACGGUCAAUUCCUACGACUUAAACUUCCAUUUUAGUGACUAUGUGUCCCAUUUCACUCUGAAACCUAAAACAAAUUCUCCCGGUAUGUCACAAAACCAAAAAAUGAAUAUAGAGGGAGCAAUAAAUAGGGGUUCGGGGCUAGUACUCUCAAAAUGAUCGGUCGGAUCGUUAAAUAAGGCUGAAAGCACAUUGAGCACAUGGUAUGCAACUUUGAUAGUUAUACUUUAGGAGUUGGUUAGUGUCAAAAGAAUAUGAAGAUUGAGAUCAUACCAUGUACAAAAUCACAUUAUGAAUAGGAAAAAAGCUCUAGUGAAUUCCUUUUUGACUUCAAAAUUCUAAAAGAAGAAAAAGUUCAAAAAAAAGAAGAAGAUUUGACAGCAAGUUAAAUUGCAACUCAAUCUCUUCCUUUGUUGAUCUUCAUUCUUCAUAUAUAUGAGUCUGAAAGUACUACAUAAUUGCAAUUGAAUGGAAAAAUCAACCAAUUGUUCUCUAAAAUUUUGUGAUUCUUCUACCAUGAAAAGAACAAAAACCUUAGCAAAAGUAAAACAAAGUUUAAGUUCAACCAAGUUUCUUGGGAGAAGCAACAAAGUUCUACGAUAUGAAGAUCCAUACAACUCAAAACACACUUACACAUGGGAUGAUAAGCAUGUGUGUACACACUUCCAAUUUGUCACUAUUUUUAGUAACACGUUUCCAAAAUGUCACAGUUAGAAGUGACAAAUAAAGUAAUAACUAAGAAACUACGAUACACUAUUAGUGAAAAUAGUAAAAAGAUGUUUCACCGGUAAUCAUCUCCUGAAGACUCAUCCCAAAUGCAUAUGUAUCAACCAGAAAACUAAAAUAAUGAUAAAAUAAUGAAAACUAAAUGAAAUAACAUAGUUAAACUAAAUAAAAUAAUCAUCCAACUAUUAUCACUAUUACCCAACCCAUGAAUAUCCUAUAUAACAUAGUCAAAUCACCAAAGUUAAUAUUCAAGCUUAGCUAAGUUACACCUCAAUACUAUAUUAUUAUUACUAAAAAAAAUAUAGCAUAUUGGUUUCUGAAAGAAUAAAGUUUUGAACUUUUUAGUGAACAACUAAAAGUUCACAGAAAAUGACACAAGCAACCAUAAAUUUCCUUUACUUCACAACGAGAACAACACAUUAAGAUCCACAUUGACAUACAUAUUCCAUUUGUGUUAUAACCAAAUAGUCAGCUAGUUCUUCAAGAACUAAUAUUUUCUUAGCGAUCUUGAGCAUUUAUCUAUUAAUUAAAUCAAGAGAAGUAUUGAACUUUAAGUAGAAACUAAAAAUUACAAAUUCAACGAAAGAAAGGACAAUGAGAGAGACAAAGAAUUUAAAAAAUCAAGGAGUUAGCAGUAUAGUACCUUCGAGAUAGUCUUGAAUCCAAAACGGUGCAAAUGGCCAUCAGGUACAAAAUACCCUUAGCUGCAAAUUCUUGCACUAUUGGUUGUGCCCUUUUGAUUUCCAAAAGCCUUAGCACAAAUUCUAUAGCUUCUGUUUCCACUGCUGCUUAUGAUGUUGUACACAAAAAUAUAAAAACAAUUACAAGUUAGGAACCAAGACUUUCAAUUUACCAUACUUUUUGUGGAAUUUGGAUUAUUAAUCUUCAGAAAAGAGUUACCAAGUUACAAAGUAGUACUAAAUUUGUUUAGGAAGUUAAAUGUCUGAAUAAUUGGAUAGUAUCCAUAACCAAGUUUAUUUGGAGUUAAUCCAAUCUAACUCUUAGCAGUACCCCUAGUACGAAAUAAGUGAAGUAUUAGUUUUCUGUCUGAUGCAAAAGAAAUGAUCCUACCAACAGAUAAAAAGGACUAUUUCAAGCCUCCAUGUUCAAAUCUGAGAAAAAUAAAGUUAGAACCAUUAGACAUUACCCCACUAGACAAAAAUGCCUCGUCUUUUCUCUUUGUCAUAUACUCAUAAUAAGUGUAAGAUUUUCAAUCUUGCAAAGUUUAAAAAAUAGUCAAAGCAAACUUCAAUUUUGACAAAUUUUUAAACCUUCAAUAGUAUAUGCAAUAUGCAAUUCUAAUUUCUAUUUCUAGACCACUAAUGACAUAUUCCAUUUCCAACAAAAAACUACUCUUUUGCUUUUUUCUAAUGAAGAUAUGAUAUAGGCACAAAUUAGAUAAUUCAAAGACUAAAAAUAGUACAACUCUCCAAUGAACUAGAAUUGAUGAUGUCUUAUUUCUUUAACCAUGAAUGAAACAAAUCACUCCCAGAAUUUAAGGUCACUAAAGCUAAAUAUUCGUCAAUAUCUCUUCUCCAUAAUAGAUUAACGUAUAAAGAGAACAGAGCAUCUAGAUUGCAUUAAGGCAUACAUAUGAAUAUUUGCAAAUUGAGAUACAUUCAAGAAAAAAAUAGAAUUUGAGUAACUACUGCUAAUGGGACGGCAUUUCGUCGAACAGUAGAUGUGCAUGGCAUAUUGAGUAAGCAUAAUUUUAGCGUACAACCAAGCAAACAACUCACUCACAAAAAAACUAGGUAUUUCAAAAUUAUUUUACCCACAUAAUAAAUUUGGUACACAAUAGGCAAAGAUAACCCAGUAAGUCUAAUCACUGCUUAGAUGAGAUAAAAUUGAACAAAUUAAAACCCCCAAAACUCCCAAAAGAAAACUGCAGUAAAUAUGAAAAUCACUAAACCGAAAGUAAAUAAAGGUGAAAUGGGUUUGGCUUUGCUUGAUAAUAGACCUAGUUAUGAAAGAAAACAAUAAGUUCUUAGGGAGCUCAGAUCGGCGACCUUCACCGGCAAGAUGGGACCUAACUGUAGAAGAAAAAGGUGUGUUCUUUAGAAGUCCAGAUCUACCACCUCCAUAGGCAAAUUAGACCUCCACACGGUUACUUCAAAACGAUGGAUUCUUUUUUAGGAGUGUAUAUCAAUGUGGUAUGUUUUGGAUUCAACUAUCGAUUUGGAUUGAUUGGCAACAAAAGUUCUCAGAGAACUACUUUAUCUUUCUUGGGGCUUAAAAAUAUUAGCGAUUAAAAAGGAAAAAGAACUCACACAAAAGUUUAGGAUUGAACAAAAAAUAAAAGGGAAAAAUUAAGGAGGGAAUCUGAACCGUCCCAAUAGAUUUUAUUUUUUAUAACCAUCCCCACAAAUAGACCUAUUACGACAGUUUUGAAAACCGUAACAAUAAAAAAAACUAUUGGAACGGUUCUAACACUACUACAACGGUUUAGUAACGAAAA